UGUCUCACAUAUCACUCUCUAAAGUGAC
rnacentral:piRNA from 1 species